rnacentral:rRNA from 1 species
UAUGGCGCAUUAGCUAGAUGGUGAGAUAGAAGCCCACCAUGGUUAUGAUGCGUAGCCGGACUGAGAGGUCGAACGGCCACAUUGGGACUGAGACACGGCCCAGACUCCUACGGGAGGCAGCAGUAGGGAAUUUUCGGCAAUGGGGGGAACCCUGACCGAGCAAUGCCGCGUGAAGGAUGAAGGAUUUCGGUCUGUAAACUUCUGUUAUAGAGGACGAAUGGCCACUUUAGGAAAUGAGAGUGGAAUGACUGUACUUUAUUAGAAAGCCACGGCUAACUACGUGCCAGCAGCCGCGGUAAUACGUAGGUGGCAAGCGUUAUCCGGAAUUAUUGGGCGUAAAGAG